GGCGGACGGGUGAGUAACACGUGGGUAACCUGCCUGUAAGACUGGGAUAACUCCGGGAAACCGGGGCUAAUACCGGAUGCUUAAUUGAACCGCAUGGUUCAAUUAUAAAAGGUGGCUUUUAGCUACCACUUACAGAUGGACCCGCGGCGCAUUAGCUAGUUGGUGAGGUAACGGCUCACCAAGGCAACGAUGCGUAGCCGACCUGAGAGGGUGAUCGGCCACACUGGGACUGAGACACGGCCCAGACUCCUACGGGAGGCAGCAGUAGGGAAUCUUCCGCAAUGGACGAAAGUCUGACGGAGCAACGCCGCGUGAGUGAUGAAGGUUUUCGGAUCGUAAAACUCUGUUGUUAGGGAAGAACAAGUACCGUUCGAAUAGGGCGGUACCUUGACGGUACCUAACCAGAAAGCCACGGCUAACUACGUGCCAGCAGCCGCGGUAAUACGUAGGUGGCAAGCGUUGUCCGGAAUUAUUGGGCGUAAAGCGCGCGCAGGCGGUUUCUUAAGUCUGAUGUGAAAGCCCCCGGCUCAACCGGGGAGGGUCAUUGGAAACUGGGGAACUUGAGUGCAGAAGAGGAGAGUGGAAUUCCACGUGUAGCGGUGAAAUGCGUAGAGAUGUGGAGGAACACCAGUGGCGAAGGCGACUCUCUGGUCUGUAACUGACGCUGAGGCGCGAAAGCGUGGGGAGCGAACAGGAUUAGAUACCCUGGUAGUCCACGCCGUAAACGAUGAGUGCUAAGUGUUAGAGGGUUUCCGCCCUUUAGUGCUGCAGCAAACGCAUUAAGCACUCCGCCUGGGGAGUA
rnacentral:rRNA from 1 species